rnacentral:tRNA from 1 species
ACGGAUGUGCUGAAAUUGGUAGACAGAUUCGUUUUAGGUACGAAGGAGGUUACUCUCUUGCAAGUUCAAGUCUUGUCAUCUGUA